rnacentral:rRNA from 1 species
AUUGAACGCUGGCGGCAGGCCUAACACAUGCAAGUCGAACGAGUGGCGGACGGGUGAGUAAUGUCUGGGAAACUGCCUGAUGGAGGGGGAUAACUACUGGAAACGGUAGCUAAUACCGCAUACCAUCAGAUGUGCCCAGAUGGGAUUAGCUAGGUGGGGGGGUAACGGCUCCCAAAGGCGACGAUCCCUCGCUGGGCUGAGAGGAUGACGAGCCACACUGGAACUGAGACACGGUCCAGACGCCUACGGUAGGCAGCAGUGGUGAAUAUUGCACAAUGGGCGUAAGCCUGAUGCAGCCAUGCCGCGUGUAUGAAGAAGUCCUUCGGGUUGUAAAGUACUUUCAGCGGGGAGGCGUUACCCGCAGAAGAAGCGCCGGCUAACUCCGUGCCAGCAGCCGCGGUAAUUC